rnacentral:rRNA from 1 species
AUGGCUCAGAACGAACGCUGGCGGCGCGUUUAAGCAUGCAAGUCGAGCGGCAAGGGCCUUCGGGCCCCUAGAGCGGCGGACGGGUGAGUAACACGUGGACAAUCUGCCCCCCGGCCCGGGAUAGCCCAGGGAAACCUGGAUUAAUACCGGAUGAGACGGGACCCGCGAUGGCGGGACCCGGGAAAGGCGCUGCGGCGCCGCCGGGGGAUGAGUCUGCGUCCCAUUAGCUAGACGGCGGGGUAACGGCCCACCGUGGCGACGAUGGGUAGCCGGCCUGGGAGGGUGGACGGCCACAUUGGAACUGAGACACGGUCCAGACUCCUACGGGAGGCAGCAGCUAAGAAUCUUCCGCAAUGGGCGAAAGCCUGACGGAGCCGACGCCGCGUGAACGAAGAAGGCCGUGAGGUUGUAAAGUUCUUUUCGGGAGGGGGAACAACCGUGGCAGGGAAUGGCCGCGGGAUGACGUGAAUCCCGGAAUAAGCCCCGGCUAACUACGUGCCAGCCGCCGC